rnacentral:rRNA from 1 species
AUUGAACGCUGGCGGCAUGCUUUACACAUGCAAGUCGAACGGCAGCGCGGGGCAACCUGGCGGCGAGUGGCGAACGGGUGAGUAAUACAUCGGAACGUACCCAGAAGUGGGGGAUAACGUAGCGAAAGUUACGCUAAUACCGCAUACGUUCUACGGAAGAAAGUGGGGGACCUUCGGGCCUCAUGCUUUUGGAGCGGCCGAUGUCUGAUUAGCUAGUUGGUAGGGUAAAGGCCUACCAAGGCGACGAUCAGUAGUUGGUCUGAGAGGACGACCAGCCACACUGGGACUGAGACACGGCCCAGACUCCUACGGGAGGCAGCAGUGGGGAAUUUUGGACAAUGGGCGCAAGCCUGAUCCAGCGAUGCCGCGUGAGUGAAGAAGGCCUUCGGGUUGUAAAGCUCUUUUGUCAGGGAAGAAACGGCUGAGGAUAAUACCUUCGGCUAAUGACGGUACCUGAAGAAUAAGCACCGGCUAACUACGUGCCAGCCGCCGCAGUAAAAC